GGGGCCCCAGAUGGACUCGGCCUGCCCCUGCUUUUCUUCCUCAGGCUCCCGAGUUGUCUACUCAGAAACGCGGGCGUUGUUUCUCACAUCGGUGUCCCCAGCUCACAGGCUUUUCUUGCUCCUCUGAACUGGGACGGGCGUCGCUGACCGCUUGGCGAUGUCCCAAGUCCCAGUCACGCCUGACGGGGAAACUUAAAACCC
rnacentral:lncRNA from 1 species